GCAUCCUCCUCCUCCCUCCUCCUGCUUGUGCCUGGGAGGGGCAGGAAAAUCCCCAGCAGAGGCUGCAGGCAGCGUUGUCCCCUCUGGAGAAGGAUCCUGCUGCAGGAAAAGGCAGCUUUGGUGUCAAACCAGCUCCUGGGGUGGGGGGAAAUGGUACCUCAGGUUUGAGCUUUUCUAUUUUUCACGUUCUGUGCUGCUUUAGUGUGUGGCUCUGGGCUUCAUAUUAUGGGAUGGCGAGCUCUGUGCACAGGGCAGGGAGACAAAACAAUUCCUGCUCCAGCUGGGGACAGAGGACAAUCAAUUCAGGAACACAAACAAGGUGGGCUGAAGAGACAAAACAAGGAUGGGACUUCAUAACCAAAGGAUGGAAUUGGAUAAUUAACUCCAAUGUGCUGUUGGACCAAAACUUACAAAAGUGAGAGACCUCGUGACCUGUCAUGCAUUUUGGGACCAUUUUGGUUCAUCUUGGGUUCAUUUUGGGACCAUUUUGGUUCAUCUUGGGUUCAUUUUGGGACCAUUUUGGGUUCAUUUUCUGAUCAUUUUGGUUCAUCUUGGGACCAUUUUUGUUCAUCUUGGGUUCAUUUUGUGACCAUUUUGGUUCACCCUGGGUCCAUUUUGGGACCAUUUUGGUUCAUUUGGGUUCAUUUGGGACCAUUUUGGUUCAUCUUGGGGCCCUUUUCUGUCCAUUCACAUUUGGGUUCCUUUUGGGACCAUUUUGGUUCAUUUUAUGUUCAUUGUGGAACAAUUUUGGUUCAUCUUGUGUUCAUUUUGGGACGAUUUUGGUUCAUCUUGAGUUCAUUUUCUGUCCAUUUUGGUUCAUUUGGGUUCAUUUUGUGACCAUUUUGGUUCAUCUUGAGUUCAUUUUGGGACCAUUUUUGUUCAUCUUGAGUUCAUUUUGGGACCAUUAUUGCUCAUCUUGGGACCAUUUUGGGACCAUUUUGUUCAUCUUGGGUUCAUUUUGGGACCAUUUUGGUUCAUUUUGGGACCAUUUUGGGACCAUUUUGGUUCAUUUUGAGUUCAUUUUGGGACCAUUUUGGUUCAUCUUGGGACCAUUUUGGGACCAUUUUGGUUCAUCUUGGGACCAUUUUGGGACCAUUUUGGGACAUU
rnacentral:lncRNA from 1 species